rnacentral:tRNA from 1 species
GGGGGCGUAGCUCAGCCGGUAGAGCAGCGGCCUUUUAAGCCGUAGGUCGCAGGUUCGACCCCUGCCGCCCUCACCA